rnacentral:rRNA from 1 species
GCGUGAGUGAUGAAGGCCCUAGGGUUGUAAAGCUCUUUUAGCGGGGAAGAUAAUGACGGUACCCGCAGAAAAAGCCCCGGCUAACUUCGUGCCAGCAGCCGCGGUAAUACGAAGGGGGCUAGCGUUGUUCGGAAUUACUGGGCGUAAAGCGCGCGUAGGCGGAUCGUUAAGUCAGGGGUGAAAUCCCGAGGCUCAACCUCGGAACUGCCCUUGAUACUGGCGAUCUUGAGUCCGGGAGAGGUGUAUGGAACUCCUAGUGUAGAGGUGGAAUUCGU